rfam:Dipodomys ordii contig_26008, whole genome shotgun sequence.
GGGAAUAUGGCACAAUGGUAGAGUGCUUGCCUAGCAUGCAUGAAGCCCUGGGUUCGAUUCCUCAGUACCA